CCAGAUGAGCACUUUCUUAGAAGAUUUGUACUAUUCACCAUUGGGUACAUCCUAUGCCCCACCACCAAGCCAAUAGUUAGUUCUCAGUACCUAGCCCUUUUGAAAGACAUUGACAACAUUAAGAACAUCAACUGGGCUAGAAUCACAAGAGAUUACUUAAUCAAUUGUCUGAAUGAAUUGAAGGGAGGAAGGAGAAAUCUAGAAGGGAAUGUACCAUUGCUUCAGGUAUGAAAGUAUCCAUUACACGUCUCCAUUUGCAAUCCACAUUCAGUGAUUCUUGCUCUCUUUUUUUUUCAGUUUUGGGCAUGGGAACAUGUACACAUUAACGAUCCAAUGUGCACACUGACAUACGUUGGAAGGCCACCGCCGCUAAUGGCCUAUUGGAAUGAAAUGAAUGUAAUGACAUGGCUAAAGUACGACAAGAAAUGUAUUCUUGAAACAGGGACUGUAAGUUACAACUCUUUGCAACAUUAAAUAUUAGUUUUAACAUGUUAAUUACCUACUAUUAUAUACUAUUCAUAUUACAUUACAGGUUGUGGUUGUCAUAGAUGAUCCUGAAGAGAUCAAAGGGGACAUUGUCCCAGUACAAUGUGAAGGCCAAAUUGACGAAAAAAAAAUUGAUGGUUUCAUGGAAGAUAACACUGUGGAUGUCAUACACAUCGUACCUGAGCCUGAAGAGAUCAAAGGGGACAAUGUGUCAGAAGACUGUCAAGGCGCCACUGCCGAAAACAAUAAUGGUGAUUUCAUCAAAGACGACACUCCCACCAAUGAAGAACCGGAUUAUAUGUUCAAAGCAACUAAAGAAAGAACGGCUGCAAACGGAUUCAACUCACAUGGAAGAGGCGAUGAUGAUGAGAGUCCACACCAUGUUUACAUAGAAGACGAUGUUAAUGUUCCAUCAAGUCCUGAAAAUUUCAAAUAUCCAGAGGUAAUAGCCAAUGUAUGAAGUUUAAACAGUUCAACUCAAACCUUUAUUAAAUCUCUCUGUUGAAGGCAUCAAGUC
rnacentral:lncRNA from 1 species